AUUGAACGCUGGCGGCAGGCUUAACACGUGCAAGUCGAGCGGUAACAGAGAGAAGCUUGCUUCUCUGCUGACGAGCGGCGGACGGGUGAGUAAUGCCUAGGAAUCUGCCUAGUAGUGGGGGAUAACUUGCCGAAAGGUAAGCUAAUACCGCAUACGUCCUACGGGAGAAAGGAGGGGACCUUCGGGCCUUUCGCUAUUAGAUGAGCCUGGGUCGGAUUAGUUAGUUGGUGAGGUAAUGGCUCACCAAGACCGCGAUCCGUAACUGGUCUGAGAGGAUGAUCAGUCACACUGGAACUGAGACACGGUCCAGACUCCUACGGGAGGCAGCAGUGGGGAAUAUUGGACAAUGGGGGGAACCCUGAUCCAGCCAUGCCGCGUGUGUGAAGAAGGUCUUAGGAUUGUAAAGCACUUCAAGUUGGGAGGAAGAGCAGUUAACUAAUAUUUGACUGUUUUGACGUUACCGACAGAAUAAGCACCGGCUAACUUCGUGCCAGCAGCCGCCGUAA
rnacentral:rRNA from 1 species